rnacentral:lncRNA from 1 species
UCUUAAAGGAAGAUAGUGCAGGAGAUUGCAGUUCUGGGCACCUGCUUUCUGGCCUUGGCAGAACACGAUGCACUUUGAAUGGGGGAGAAUCUUUCCUUGGGCAGAUGAUAGCGUGUGCUGCUGACUGAGCCAGCUAUGGCAGUUGAGUGCAGAGCUGUAGCUUGAGGAAAUGCAUGUGCUCCAUGGGGAAUGUGCCUCUCAAGCCAGGACAAUGGGGGAAGAGAUCAUGGGGUGUAAGUCUGAAGAGACAUCAGUGCUAUGGACAGCCUAAUGGCUGACUACUGUAUAACCAGAUGCAUGGCCACUCCAUAACAGCCCAUAAGCCCUGCCCACGUACCCAGCGGUUCACUCUGAGCUCUGUUCAUGCAGUCUUUAAGUCGUGAUACCCUGUCUCUUCUUUUGCCUUCAUCAGAAAGCUCAACUACAACUACUGUGGAAUCAUCUACCAUAUCUGGAUCACCAGCAACAGAAACCACACCUACAAGUCCUGGAGACAGUUCUACCAACUCUACAACACCAUCAACAGACGAAACCACACCUACAAGUCCUGGGAACAGUUCUGCCAUCUCUACAACACCAUCAACAGACGGAAAUACAACUGCGUCAACUGGGAAUGCUACUAUGGUCCCUUCUUCACCAGUAACACAAGGUAAUUAUGAAAAUUCCCUUCAGCCCUCUGUGCGAGCAAUCCUCAGUUGCAGGAGCUACAGAGAGCACAAGCAGCACUGUGUCUUCCUGCCCAGAGGGUACACACUUAUCAAGAAAUGCAGGAAGUUGUUGUGCUUCUUUGGAGCCUGGUCAAAGAAGGAACACACAGUGGUUCCCCAAUGGUAUAGUGAAGAAGUGCAGGGAGUUAUUGCAAGGCAAUGCAUGAUUGCCCAUGGCUGA